UUCAUCAAGAAGGACAGUGUCUAGAGUAAUGGUUGUAUUUAUCCAUGGAAAGCAUACGUGGGUCAAUAAGAGAUUAGGUUUGCAAGUAUAUGAGCACCCUUCCCCCUUCCCCCUUGUUCCUCUUUGAUGGAGACAUGAUAUCUGACCCUAGAGUUAAGCCUGGCAGCUGGAAAUGAAAAGCUCUGAAGGCCCCUUCUUAGUGAGCUGUGCAAAAAGAACCUUUAAUCAAAGGUAGUGUCAGAGGUCCCAUGGUCCCAGACUCAGACCUCAUCCUCUUUUCUUUCCACCCUACUCCCAGUACUCAAAAGUGAGGGAUUGAUCAGAUAGAAGAGACUGAGUAUAUCCUGGCCAGUGGUUAUGGAGGUGAUUCUGAUCUGA
ensembl:scaRNA Gm27414 small Cajal body-specific RNA 2